rnacentral:lncRNA from 1 species
AAAAUAGUCCAGGACUGGCACAACUGUUCUAGGAAGUUACCAAGGCUCUGCAAAGGCAUCUGAGGGGGAGAGCUGAUUUUAAUUGGAACUCUAAUACAAUUCCAUUACAGUCAAGGUCUGUAAAGGUGACACAUGGAAAUAGAGGACUUUGCACGUGAGGGCGAUCUGGCUGCAACAGUCUUUCAUGUCAUUGAUUGUCAGGGUUGAUUUGGCUGCUCUGGCUACCUAGACUCAGGAAGCACGUGAGCCUACAGCUGAACUUCACUGUAGAAAGUUGUAAGAAAGGCCAAGAACUGAAGCAGAAGAGCAAGCAAGAAAGAAAAUUCUCUGCAGGCUCUGUCUUGUACUGGAGUUGCUACCUUUAGCCCACUGGAUCACUGUGCUUGAAAUUCCCACAUUAUUCAUUCUGCAAAGUUAAGACAUAAAGUAAGAUCCUGACAAAAGAGCCUUUCCUUUGACCAGGUAAUUCCAGUUUCUGAAGUUCACAUUUUAAAAAUAACCUAAGAGAAAUAAAAAGCUAGAAGCACAGUGGUGCUCACUGAGAUAUUACCUCUAAUAACAGAGAGAGGAAAAUAAUAAAAAAUAGCCAAUAUGAGGAG